GUGGGGGAUAUUGCACAAUGGGGGCAACCCUGAUGCAGCGACGCCGCGUGGAGGAAGAAGGUCUUCGGAUUGUAAACUCCUGUCCGAGGGGACGAUAAUGACGGUACCCUUGGAGGAAGCACCGGCUAACUACGUGCCAGCAGCCGCGGUAAAACGUAGGGUGCGAGCGUUGUCCGGAAUUACUGGGUGUAAAGGGAGCGCAGGCGGAUCGUCAAGUUGGGAGUGAAAACUACGGGCUCAACCCGUAACUUGCUUUCAAAACUGGCGGUCUUGAGUGGUGUAGAGGUAGGCGGAAUUCCCGGUGUAGCGGUGGAAUGCGUAGAUAUCGGGAGGAACACCAGUGGCGAAGGCGGCCUACUGGGCACUAACUGACGCUGAGGCUCGAAAGCAUGGGUAGCAAACAGGA
rnacentral:rRNA from 1 species